AGUCCUACGGGACGCAGCAGUGAGGAAUAUUGGUCAAUGGGCGAGAGCCUGAACCAGCCAAGUCGCGUGAGGGAAGACGGCCCUACGGGUUGUAAACCUCUUUUGUCAGGGAGCAAGAACGGAUACGUGUAUCCGAGCGAGAGUACCUGAAGAAAAAGCAUCGGCUAACUCCGUGCCAGCAGCCGCGGUAAUACGGAGGAUCCGAGCGUUAUCCGGAUUUAUUGGGUUUAAAGGGAGCGUAGAUGGGUUGUUAAGUCAGUUGUGAAAGUUUGCGGCUCAACCGUAAAAUUGCAAUUGAUACUGGC
rnacentral:rRNA from 1 species